rnacentral:sRNA from 1 species
AAAUAAUUUUUAACUUUCAUCAAAAUUACUUUCUAUUUUAUUAUUUGUUUUUGAUUUUUUGUUAUUGUUGUGAUUUAUACUCUGUUGAUUUUCCUUCCAGUUUAUAGAAUAGUAAAUUUAUAUAUUUCUUUUCUUGCAUUUUAAGCCGUUUAAUGUUUUUCAUACUCAUUCAUCUAUGAUUAAAAUGAGCAAGUUUCUUGUUAUUUUCUCUACUUCAAUUCUUGGACAUUAAUAGAGCGCAAUUCUUAUUUAAGAGAAGAUAUUAUUAACAA